GGUUUCCGUGAGUCACCCAGAAACUCGCCGUUUUUUGUUACUCUCUCCAAAAACCGGAGUGCCAGGCACAAAUUAGUAUCUCAACGCAGGUAAGUCGAAUGACUUGGAGGCGGGACAAGGCCCCGACAGUACCGGAGUUUGGAACCGCGCUCACAUUCACGUUCCCGGGUAAACUCCUGGGAUGUGCCAGGGCCUAAAGCGAGUAGUGGAGGUUCCCGCCUGCGAGUUUACGCCCCCAAGUCAGUGCCAGUCCUUGCGAAGGAAGCCCCUGGACGUUAUGAGCUCGAGGUCCCGGGCCCAGGGGCAAAGAACUGAGGCGGUGCCUGCCGAGGGUCCUGCCGCCUCCUCUGCCCUGCGGCGUGGCAUCCCGCGUAACUCCGGGAGGGCUCGUGGAGUACCCAAACCGCCGAGGGAAAAUAGCCGAAACACACAGUCCAGGGAAAUGACUCCGCGCACGCCCAGUUGCCCCAGAGAAGGCGACGUGGGGGCCUCGGGGAAGAAAAAGCCUUGCCGCGCGAAGCCCAGGUGGAGGGAAGCCCCGGAGCCCACCGGCCGCACGCACAAAACGCCCGCGGCUUCCCGAGCUCCGGCUCGGGACUGGCUCCGCGCCGCGCCGCCGCCAGGAGGCAGGCCUCGCCCACUGGGGCACCACCCGGCCCGCAGGAGCCCCGCCGCUUUCCGCGUCCGCCCGAGCGGGGCGUGCCGUGGCUGGGGUCGCAGCGACGGUCCCCGCCCGCGUCACGGAGUUUAUUUUCAUCCGAGGCCGAGAGCUGGGAGCCCUUUGGGGCGGGAGACCCGAGAGUAGGGAAUCAAGGAAGGCGAAAGAGGGAAGCGCGGACAACGGAAUGCUACGGUUUCCGCGAAACUCCCCGGAGUUUCACGAGCGCAGAGCUCAAGGUUUCCACGGAAAAGCUCUUAACCCUUUCGGGAAGGACCUUCGGACAGUACAAAUGGAAUGCAAAGUCAAUCCCCGAGCCCUUCUAGGUCAUACACGUUCACAGCGGUGGUAACAGAAGGGAAUGACGGCUGUAACCGAUCAUCUAAAAUAACUAAUGGUCUGCGAACAAAUUCUUCCUCUCCGUUUCAAUUUUAAAUGCUUCGCCACACACGAGCCCUCAGUGCAGAGAAAAUCACGGUGUUUAUUUAGAUAAAACUUAAACUUUCCAAUGUAAAAGUGAACUCCUUGGUAAGGACGCCUGGCUACAUCAACAAAGCAAUGUAAUGCCUGAUUAAUAGUGCUGAUUAAUGUUGGCUUAGGUUAAUACCCAUUACAAUACUUAAAUGAUUCAGCCAUAUAU
ensembl:lncRNA